rnacentral:rRNA from 1 species
ACGGGAGGCAGCAGUGAGGAAUAUUGGUCAAUGGAGGAGACUCUGAACCAGCCAAGUCGCGUGAAGGAAGACGGUUCUAAGAAUUGUAAACUUCUUUAGUAGGAGAGUAGAGAUAGGUACGUGUACCUAUAGGAAAGUAUCCUAAGAAUAAGUAUCGGCUAACUCCGUGCCAGCAGCCGCGGUAAUACGGAGGAUACGAGCGUUAUCCGGAAUUAUUGGGUUUAAAGGGUGCGUAGGUGGCAUAGUAAGUCAGUGGUGAAAAUCCGGUGCUCAACAUCGGACUUGCCGUUGAAACUGCUGGGCUAGAGUACAGAUGAUGUGGGCGGAACGCGUAGUGUAGCGGUGAAAUGCAUAGAUAUUACGCAGAACUCCGAUUGCGAAGGCAGCUCACAAAAGUGUAACUGACACUGAGGCACGAAAGCGUGGGUAUCAAACAGGAUUAGAUACCCUGGUA